AUACACAUAGCCAUCUGCUUGCACAAGUAGACACAGACUAGAGGGGUGUUUGGGAGAAUGUUCACCAACAUGUUAAUGGUGAUUGUCGCUGGAGAAGGAGAUUUGGGAAUUUCAUGAAUCUAGGACUCCAGACCCUAGGAUGAGGGCUAUGACUGUAAAAAGAUCUGGUUCCAUCUCUGCUUCUGCUACCAACCCACCAAACCGUCUUAAAAUGAUGAUCAUGACCUCUCAUGCCAUCCUACAGGAAUUUCCCCAGGGUUAGCUGUACCAUGCUUGUGAGCUGCUUUCAGCUGCACGAAAAAAGACUCUGAAAACAUUUACCGUAAUGAUUUGAGCCGUAUGAAAUUGCUGGUACUUGACCAUUGGUAGCCUAGAAAAAUGGCAGUUUCACAUGGUUUAGGUGAAUAAAAUUCAUCUUUUAUCCAGCCUGCUGUGUGUCAGUGAUGGGCUGGUUCUGAGGAUUUACAGAUGAGGAGGACAUUAUCCUUGACCUCAGGGAGGUCUCAGACCAGUGUGGGAAAUGGACACUUGAAUAAAACAUUGCAAUGUGGGUGGGCAGGUGCUCUGGUGGAAGUAUUACAAGAUGCUGUGGAUAACAGAGAGGAAGCCAGAGAGUCUACUGGGCCAGGAGGGGAAGCCUGGAAAGAGGUCUUGCAAGUUUUCCAGAAUGGCUCCAGCCCAGGAUGCCUUUCAGCAGAAAGAGAUAUGAAGCUGGAUGGAUUGCCUGGAGUCCCAGAAUGGCCAGCUCAGGGAGGGACAGUCUCUCCUCAGCCAGAAAAGUAUUUCAAGAUGUCAAAACAUCAUAACUUACAGAAAAUAAUAAGUGCAUUAUUACACAAGGACAGCUAAAGCGCCUGGACAUUACAUAUAAAACAAACAUACAAAGACUGAAAUGUGGAGAAAAGAAAGCAGAUUGGCAAAGGACUCCAGGACCCAAGAAAUGACCUUCUGGUGAGUUUCCCGGGUUUUCCUAUUGCCUCAUUUAUCUCAGACUUGGAGCUGGCAUCUGGGAAUGCCAACAACAGGAGCAGACCAAAAAAAAAAAAAAAAAAAAAAAAA
rnacentral:lncRNA from 9 species